AUCCUGGCUCAGGAUGAACGCUGGCGGCGUGCCUAAUACAUGCAAGUCGAGCGAACUGAUUAGAAGCUUGCUUCUAUGACGUUAGCGGCGGACGGGUGAGUAACACGUGGGCAACCUGCCUGUAAGACUGGGAUAACUCCGGGAAACCGGAGCUAAUACCGGAUAACAUUUUCUCUUGCAUAAGAGAAAAAUUGAAAGAUGGUUUCGGCUAUCACUUACAGAUGGGCCCGCGGUGCAUUAGCUAGUUGGUGAGGUAACGGCUCACCAAGGCAACGAUGCAUAGCCGACCUGAGAGGGUGAUCGGCCACACUGGGACUGAGACACGGCCCAGACUCCUACGGGAGGCAGCAGUAGGGAAUCUUCCGCAAUGGACGAAAGUCUGACGGAGCAACGCCGCGUGAGUGAUGAAGGCUUUCGGGUCGUAAAACUCUGUUGUUAGGGAAGAACAAGUACAAGAGUAACUGCUUGUACCUUGACGGUACCUAACCAGAAAGCCACGGCUAACUACGUGCCAGCAGCCGCGGUAAUACGUUGGUGGCAAGCGUUAUCCGGAAUUAUUGGGCGUAAAGCGCGCGCAGGCGGUUUCUUAAGUCUGAUGUGAAAGCCCACGGCUCAACCGUGGAGGGUCAUUGGAAACUGGGGAACUUGAGUGCAGAAGAGAAAAGCGGAAUUCCACGUGUAGCGGUGAAAUGCGUAGAGAUGUGGAGGAACACCA
rnacentral:rRNA from 1 species